CUCGACUCCCUCGACAUGCCUCUUCCUCGUUAGAUCGACCGGUUCGCUCGGACGCAGACACCCACAUCCUCCUCUUUUCGACCCAACCCGCCUAGGGUUCCCAACCCCCUCGUCUGCCGCCGCGCCAUGCUACUAUUUUCCAAGCGCCGUCGCAAUGGGCUCCAUCGCCGUACAGCUCUCCUACCAAAUCGCUUGAUGCGAUGGGUCAUGCCGCAUCACCAGGCCCCGCGAUGCACGCCCACCAGCACUACCAGAUCGGGCGGUGAAGAGGACGCAAUCCACCGGCGACGAGGCGGGCGGCGCCGCCACGUUCGUGCUCGAGCGCCUCCGGGUACCUGGCAUGCGCGCGAGGCAAGGCGCCUCCUGGGCUCUAUCCAUCGCCGCAUCGCCGACAACCCCGCGGCCGAGCAGGAGGAGUGCUUCCACGGCUUCAAAUAUAUGCGAGUAGAUGCAGGCCGCAGCACAUGCUUCCAUCACCUCCCUGUGUCGCUCGAGUCAUGGGCUCCAUCGUGUGACGCACUGCAAGGAUGUCAACCAUGCUGCUGCAGGGUUCAGUNNNNNNNNNNNNNNNNNNNNNNNNNNNNNNNNNNNNNNNNNNNNNNNNNNNNNNNNNNNNNNNNNNNNNNNNNNNNNNNNNNNNNNNNNNNNNNNNNNNNNNNNNNNNNNNNNNNNNNNNNNNNNUGAUCCGGAUAUUGGAUUCUCUCAGACGAAAUACAAUGUCAAUGUUGAUAGAUCAUUUAUGUUUCUUCAGCAGAUGGAGUCUCCACAGAGAUAAGUUUCUCAAAUGAUUAACAUUAUGUUUGCGCUCCAGGUCUAGAGGAGGUAGAGGAGCUCCAGUUUGAUCCUAAGGAUGGUAUUGCUUUUUUUAGAAUUAAAUUACUUGUUCGUAUCGUAAUUUCAGACUGAGAAUUUUUCUUUUCUCAACUAUUUGCUAUCUGUUGUCCCUUCGAGAUGUUCUAAGUGGCCAAUUUGAGUUUGCCCGAUCACAGUUUCCACAAGCAUUGUUUGGCCUUUUAAAAGUUCUGAUAGAAAAAUUCUUACAUUCUUUCUCUUACAACCAAAAGGAGAUUCUACUUCAUGUGUUGUCUUACAAGCAACGAGGCUGGCUGUCUUCCACACACCACAAAUGAAGGUUUUGGAACUCCAUUCUCCAAUAGUAUCAGUGAAUCAAACACUCCAAUCUCUCUGAAUUCUAACCCACAGCAUCUCCGACACCCUCUCGACGAGUUGCAAUUAGAUCGUAGCUGAGGACGCGGCAAAUGACCACUGAGGUUCUCUUUGUGGUUUCUGAUAUUGCGGAAGCUGAAUGACAAUAGUAAUGACUGGUAGUUCCACGUUUGCAUUUGCUGACGACAACGAUAAUGAGUUUUUACGGCUGCACUUGAGGGUGAUCGUAUCCAUGCUACCAUUCUGCAGUAUCUUGAGAUUUCUACAGUGGAGUAGUACACAACUACGUAUCACAAGUUUGAGCUUAGAUGAACAACAUGAGCACCAUCAAACGGAUAGAUCAUGUGCCCGAUGGGUUUCAUGAUGGAGUAGUUGAUAACGGUUAUAUACAAAACAUAUCUUGACAGAGGUGGCGCCAGACGUCACGGAGAGGUACCGCGUUCGGGCCAACGAGGAGCUCCGGGCAUGGUGGGCGGCGGCCAUGGCAUUGGCCUCAUGGGUGUACUCUGACUGCCGCCGGCAAUUCUCGCAAACAAUGGCUUAGGUUUUGAGGAGGAUUAGCAUGUCACCACAUGACAACUUUGUAAGUGUGAUGUAAUACUGGCGAAUGUAUGCAUUCACACAAUCAAAGGAUUGAAUUGUGCGAAGGAUUCAUACUCCAUAUCUUUUUACCUCUCUAGACUCUAGAUCAUAUGGGAAUAACCACAGUUGCUUAACUCAGCAAAUAGCAACAUCACUGCACUCGGUCCUUUUCUGCUCUUCAACAAGUUGGCCCGAGACAUAUCUUGCUUGCUUGCUGAUCUGGUGAUUGUUCAACACAGCUGGACAUGUGUUGGAUGGUUAUUUUUUUAUUCUGAAAGGAGAUCUUGUAUGCUGCUAUGUUCUUUCAAAUUGUGGAUAACAUUUUGAUCUAAGUGAUCUGGUUCUUUCAAUUGGUGCAUAGCAUGUUCAUUUGAAGUUCAAGCAAGCAGAGUAUGAAGUAUGAGGUUUUUUGUCUAUCUGUUACAUAGCAAAUGAGAUCAUUCACCAGCACACUCAAGCAGAAGCAGCAAUAGAAGACACAUAUGUGCGAUGUGCUCAAGAGAAUGACGUCUCUACAAUCUGGAUGUUGCCCAGAUAGCAGAGAUCAUAAAAAUAGAAGAAUCAUGGGUAAGGUGUCCCUUUCAUGUCAAUCCUUCUUAGAAGGGAUGCAACAUGUUAGUAACUGUAUAGAUGGUUCAAUUGAUUGUGAAGUGUGUGUUCAUGGAGGGGGAAGGGGGCAUUGCGAGCCGGAUUUGUCACUACUGAGGUGGCGAACAUGGACUGGGGUUGCGGAGUGCAAAUGAAGCUAAAGACAACAUAUAAUUAUUUAGAUCAUUUCUCUCUGUAUACAUGGUUGAGUGAAAUUGCGAGUGAAGUGGAUUUCAAUUAUUUUAUGAUUGUUGCAGGCCCUGUUUAAGAAUUCAUCCGAUGAACCAGUUAAUUUGCUGAUUAAUCCCUACUCGUAGGGUCACUGAGUAGCCGAUAAACCGA
rnacentral:rRNA from 1 species